rnacentral:rRNA from 1 species
CAGUCUGCAUGGAGCCGACCUUGAAAUACCACCCUUUAAUGUUUGAUGUUCUAACGUGGACCCGUGAUCCGGGUUGCGGACAGUGUCUGGUGGGUAGUUUGACUGGGGCGGUCUCCUCCUAAAGAGUAACGGAGGAGCACGAAGGUUGGCUAAUCCUGGUCGGACAUCAGGAGGUUAGUGCAAUGGCAUAAGCCAGCUUGACUGCGAGCGUGACGGCGCGAGCAGGUGCGAAAGCAGGUCAUAGUGAUCCGGUGGUUCUGAAUGGAAGGGCCAUCGCUCAACGGAUAAAAGGUACUCCGGGGAUAACAGGCUGAUACCGCCCAAGAGUUCAUAUCGACGGCGGUGUUUGGCACCUCGAUGUCGGCUCAUCACAUCCUGGGGCUGAAGUAGGUCCCAAGGGUAUGGCUGUUCGCCAUUUAAAGUGGUACGCGAGCUGGGUUUAGAACGUCGUGAGACAGUUCGGUCCCUAUC